CGAGCCUGCAGCCGCAGCGCAGGGCAGGGGAGCGGCGGCGCGGCAGGCACAGCCUCCCGGCGGGCGCCCGGCGGAGCAGCAGGGCGGGCGGGCGUUGGCUGCGCCCGGCCCCGCCGCGCCGCCCCCGGCUCCGCCCGGCGCUCCCAUGGCGCGGCGGCCCCGCGCCAGGUGAGCAGCGCUGCCUGUUGCGCCGAGCGGAGCGGAGCGGAGCGGAGCCGCCGGGGCCACACGCCGAGAAGUUUUGCGAGAAGGCGCCGCGAUGAGCUGGACUGUUUAGAAAGAAAAUGUAGAGUUAUCAUCUGCAAUCUGAUGUGGUCUUCCUUUUCAGAAAAAAAUACUGUUUCUGGCAUUCAUGUUGGGAGAGAGGAGCCGUCCUUUCCAAGACUUUCAGUAUAGGUAUGAAAAUGUUCAAAGAGCUGACAGUUAGUAAUUAUUAUUCAUUGGCGCUACUUUGCUUCUAGUACAGUGAA
rnacentral:lncRNA from 1 species